rnacentral:rRNA from 1 species
GACGAACCGAGCAAACGUUAUUCGGAAUCACUGGGCUUAAAGGGCGCGUAGGCGGGCCAUCAAGUCUGUGGUGAAAUCCUCCAGCUUAACUGGAGAACGGCCGCGGAUACUGGUGGUCUCGAGGAAGGUAGGGGCAUCUGGAACUGGUGGUGGAGCGGUGAAAUGCGUUGAUAUCAUCAGGAACUCCGGUGGCGAAGGCGAGAUGCUGGACCUUUUCUGACGCUGAGGCGCGAAAGCCAGGGGAGCGAACGGG